rnacentral:rRNA from 1 species
UAUGAAGGUCAGGCUGAAGACCUUACCGGAUUAGCUGAGAGGUGGUGCAUGGCCGUCGUCAGUUCGUACUGUGAAGCAUCCUGUUAAGUCAGGCAACGAGCGAGACCCACGUCCACAGUUGCCAGCAUACCCUCCGGGGUGAUGGGUACACUGUGGAGACCGCCGCUGCUAAAGCGGAGGAAGGAAUGGGCAACGGUAGGUCAGUAUGCCCCGAAUCUCCCGGGCUACACGCGGGCUACAAUGGUUGGUACAAUGGGCAUCUACCCCGAAAGGGGAAGGAAAUCUCUUAAAGCCAAUCGUAGUUCGGAUUGAGGGCUGCAACUCGCCCUCAUGAAGCUGGAAUCCGUAGUAAUCGCGUUUCAACAGAACGCGGUGAAUACGUCCCUGCUCCUU